rnacentral:rRNA from 1 species
CUGGCGGCGUGCCUAACACAUGCAAGUCGAGCGGGGACAUGGAAGUAGCAAUACGGAAAUGUUCUAGCGGCGGACGGGUGAGUAACGCGUGAGCAACCUGUCCCAGUCAGGGGGAUAACGAGCCGAAAGGCUCCCUAAUACCGCAUGAGACCACAGCAUCACAUGGUGCAGGGGUCAAAGGAGAGAUCCGGACUGGGGUGGGCUCGCGUCUGAUUAGCUAGUUGGUGAGGUAAAGGCCCACCAAGGCGACGAUCAGUAGCCGACCUGAGAGGGUGAUCGGCCACAUUGGAACUGAGACACGGUCCAAACUCCUACGGGAGGCAGCAGUGGGGAAUAUUGGGCAAUGGGGGGAAACCCUGACCCAGCAACGCCGCGUGAGGGAAGAAGGUUUUCGGAUCGUAAACCUCUGUCCUUGGUGAAGAGGAAGAGACGGUAGCCAAGGAGGAAGCCCCGGCUAACUACGUGCCAGCCGCCGC